GGAUGAUCCUUGCCUGACUGGGGUUGUGUACACCUCAAUCCGACUCUGUGUCCUGAACAGAGGCCGCAGUGGUGCAGCGCUUGUGGACGAUCCAUCAACAUCCUGAAAGUCAACACUACACCAAGCUGGGAAAAUGAUCCUGAUAGUCAUCCCCAGGCCUGACCGUUUGUCCUUGAGCCGUAGAUGGUCAACAAUCCGCUAGCUGUCUUGCUCUGACUGGUGCACUGGACAUGAUUUCAAUAGUCAGCCAGACCAUGAUUGAGCUUAAGGAUUGUGCUGCGGAUGCAGCCUGUGCAGUUCCGGAGA